rnacentral:rRNA from 1 species
AUGAGACUCUUGCUUCCCUUUGAAAGAGGCAGACCCCUACUUCAAUUGUCAUCUGACGACUCUUCCCCAGCUAUGGACUCAGACCUCUCACAACCAAAAAAAAGAAAAUCAAAAUCAAACGAAUCCGAAUAUAACCAAUCUAUUGCCUUUGAUGACUCGUUGACAGCCUCCUCAACCCAAGCUUCCAUCUCCUGCUCCAGACAUCGGCGCUUGCCCGCGCCAAUCCAUGAAAGGUAGAUGAAGGUGAGUUUGAUUACGAACUUGAGGAUGCUGGGAACGAUCUCUUUUCGGGGAAUCACUCCCGUCGAUAGGCCCUCUGCCUCCCUUUUUCUGAAUCUGGUAGAGAGGCAAAAGAGAAGUCCAGAGAGACCUUGGCUCUUUCAGGGAAAGGAGGGAGAUCGAAUGCGAGAUGGAGCCCCUUCCGAUUGGAAUGGACAUCCUUGGGGACAGUUGUGUAAGACUUAAUUUACCAUAAAAUUGGACGGAAAAACUACUAAAAAGAUCACAAGAAACCCAGCUCAAAGUGAAUGGAGAGACAACCCCUGCGCCUUGGAAGGAUCUGAAGCUGUUCGAACACUCAUAGACAAGUGA